UGGGGGAUAUUGCGCAAUGGGGGGAACCCUGACGCAGCAACGCCGCGUGAAGGAAGAAGGUUUUCGGAUCGUAAACUUCUUUAAGUGGGGAAGAUAGUGACGGUACCCACAGAAUAAGCCACGGCUAACUACGUGCCAGCAGCCGCGGUAAUACGUAGGUGGCAAGCGUUGUCCGGAUUUACUGGGUGUAAAGGGCGUGUAGGCGGGAUGGUAAGUCAGAUGUGAAAUACCGGGGCUCAACUCCGGGGCUGCAUUUGAAACUGCCGUUCUUGAGUGUCGGAGAGGAAAGCGGAAUUCCUAGUGUAGCGGUGAAAUGCGUAGAUAUUAGGAGGAACACCAGUGGCGAAGGCGGCUUUCUGGACGAUAACUGACGCUGAGGCGCGAAAGCGUGGGGAGCAAACAGGAUUAGAUACC
rnacentral:rRNA from 1 species